GGUGGGGUUCCCGAGCGGCCAAAGGGAGCAGACUGUAAAUCUGCCGUCACAGACUUCGAAGGUUCGAAUCCUUCCCCCAAGU
rnacentral:tRNA from 1 species